AGUAUGAUAGGUAUAUGAAAAUAGGAAUAUUUACGUUUAUUUGAUAAUUACGGGUGAGAUGUUACGUUGCGCAUCUCGAGUGUUUUUUGUUUACCCAUGAGCCCACGUAUGACGCAGCUGUGGAGGUUGACGCCUUGUGUGCGAAUCCACUUCGCAGGGAAUAUUUUUGUUUCGACCUUUCACAGAAGUGGCAGUUAUUGUGCACAAAUCUUUGUACUCAUGAAGCCAGUGUUAUGUCUAAUGGGCUGUGGAUAUGGGUUUGUGCCGUAACUGAGAUGUGAUGACAACUACUGGGAAUCAUGGAUUGUGAUAGUGUGGCCAUUGAAGUUGAAACUUUGCUCCAAUAAAAGACUGUUGCAGCUGAUGGCUUUUCCUUGAUCUCCCAGUACAUUUCAACUUCAUCGCCAUGGGUUUGCAAGGGGACCUCAACGCCCUCAAGAAACAGAGGGGAACUGCUAAAGGAAAGUUCACCAGGAAGGUAACUUUAUGUAAAGAAGGAAUAGA